rnacentral:miRNA from 3 species
AAAGACAUAGGAUAGAGUCACC